rnacentral:rRNA from 1 species
UACGAAGGGGGCUAGCGUUGCUCGGAAUCACUGGGCGUAAAGCGCACGUAGGCGGAUUGUUAAGUCAGGGGUGAAAUCCUGGAGCUCAACUCCAGAACUGCCUUUGAUACUGGCGAUCUUGAGUCCGGGAGAGGUGAGUGGAACUGCGAGUGUAGAGGUGAAAUUCGUAGAUAUUCGCAAGAACACCAGUGGCGAAGGCGGCUCACUGGCCCGGUACUGACGCUGAGGUGCGAAAGCGGUGGGUAGCAAACAGG